rnacentral:rRNA from 1 species
GUCUUUUUGUUUAAAAUUUAAAGUCUAGCCUGCCCAAUGAUUAUUUUAAUGGCUGCGGUAUUUUGACCGUACAAAGGUAGCAUAAUCAAUAGUUUUUUAAUUGAAAACUAGUAUGAAUGGCUGAACGAGAAAAUUACUGUCUCAAUUUAAAUUAAUUAGAAUUUUAUUUUUAAGUCAAAAAGCUUAAAUAUUAUUAAAAGACGAGAAGACCCUAUAGAGUUUUAUAUUUAUAAAUAUUAUUAUAAAGAAUUUUAAAAUUAUUAAAUAAAUAUUUUAUUGGGGUGAUAAAUAAAUUUAGUAAACUUUAUUUAAUUUUUUACAUUUAUUUAUGAAAAAUUGAUCCAUUAAUUAUGAUUAAAAGUUAAAAUUACCUUAGGGAUAACAGCGUAAUUUUUUUAGAGAGUUCUUAUCGAUAAAAAAGGUUGCGACCUCGAUGUUGGAUUAAAAUUAAUUUUUGGUGUAGAAGCUAAAAAUAUUGAGUCUGUUCGACUUUUAAUAUUUUACAUGAUCUGAGUUUAAAUCGGUGUGAGCCAGAUUGGUUUCUAUCUUUAAUUAUUUAAAAUAUUUCAGUACGAAAGGACCAAAUAUUUAUAAAAGUUAUUUAAUUUUGAAUAU